AGCUCCAAUAGCGUAUAUUAAAGUUGUUGCGGUUAAAAAGCUCGUAGUUGGAUCUUGGGACCGGGCUUGCGGUCCGCCGCGAGGCGUGUCACUGCUCGUCCCGGCCCUCCCCGCCGGAUUCUCCUUGGUGCUCUUAACUGAGUGCCUCGGGGUGCCGGAGCGUUUACUUUGAAAAAAUUAGAGUGUUCAAAGCAGGCCUGGCGCCUGAAUAGUGGUGCAUGGAAUAAUGGAAUAGGACCUCGGUUCUAUUUCGUUGGUUUUCGGAACGUGAGGUAAUGAUCAAGAGGGACGGACGGGGGCAUUCGUAUUGCGGCGGGAGAGGUGAAAUUCUUGGAUCGCCGCAAGACGAACCACUGCGAAAGCAUUUGCCAAGAAUGUUUUCAUUG
rnacentral:rRNA from 1 species